AAAAAGAAAAAAGAAAAAUCAGAAGGAGAAAAGCGAGGAGAUCUGCCUGCCAGGACAUCUCAAUUUGCACAAGCCUACAGCUUCUUCCUCCUUCAUCUCUCCCCGAUCUGAUCGGACCUUGCCUCUGCUCUGUUUGUCCAUGGUUUAAUUGGAUGAGAUUUGAGGUUGUUAUUUUUUGGGGAUUUGGAGGGUUAAAUGGCGUCGGCGCAGGUGUUGCCAAGCUCACGGAAGCAAGAGCAUCUUGAAGCCGGAAAGAGACGGCUGGAAGAGUUCCGUAAGAAAAAAACAGCAGACCGAGCCAAAAAAGCUGCAGCCACAAGUCAACCUCUUUCUUCUGAUGUUAUUGUAGAUCAGAAACAACCUUUAGAGGCUGAACGUGUAAGGGUUACAGAUUCAGAUGGAGCUGGUACAUCUGAUGGACCUGGCAGACCUAUUGAACCAUAUAAUGGAAUUAUCAACAAUGACAGCAACAUAACUAAUAGUAGUACAAAAGCAGAGCAAAAUUUUUUGGUAGGUGCAGUUGCUAAUGGUCCAUCAAAGAGUGAUUCCAAGACAUCUUUGGCAGAUCUAGUUCAGAGACACACAAAUAGUCAUGGAUUUAAGAGAUACGAUGCCUCAGGAUUUUCUGAAAAUCAUGAUUUUGAGGGCUAUCUUACCUCAGGAUUUUCUGGAACAGGUGUUGAUAAUGGCCGAGGGACUGAUGAAAUGAGUAAUGACUCCAAAACAUAUACUGGGAGCCAAGGUCAAGUGCCAUAUGGGAAAUUUUCAGACCAUUCUAUUGCACCACACUCACAAGAAGGAAAAGGUUUUGAUAGCAGUUAUAGUCAAUCUACUCCAUUCCAGUCAACGGAAAAAAACAGUUUUUUGAAGGAUAAUGCUUUUAGCUCAACUCAAAAUUCUAGUGUAUAUGGUAGAGAUGUGCAAACAUUUGAAUCAAUUGGUUUCAGUUCAGAUAUUAGGAGCUCCACAAAUCUUGUUCAACUAUUUCCAGGAACAUCUGAACCUAACCCUAGGAGAUCUCGACCAUCCUUCCUUGAUUCACUUAUUGUUCCUAGAGCUCCUUCAACUUUCCAAAGUACUGAAUCACAAAAUCAGGACAUAAAAUCAGAUGGCAUGGAUGAUCUAGGAUCAUCUGCUUUCCAGAAGCCAUCAGGACAGAAUGAAAAUGUGGGACAGCAUUUGGUGAAAUUUUCUGUACCCUCUAGCAAUGGGCUUGAUCUAAUGACCCAGAAUGUUAAUGAGAAUAGCUUGGAGAGAAAGCAUGAGCUAUAUUCAUCUAAACAGAAUGAAGAUUUUGCUACUUUGGAACAGCAUAUUGAAGACUUGACCCAAGAAAAAUUCUCUUUGCAACGAGCUCUUGAAGCUUCUCGUGCUUUGGCAGAGUCCCUGGCUGCUGAAAACUCAUCAUUGACAGAUAAUUAUAACCAACAGAGAAGUGUUGUCAACCAAUUAAAAUCCGACAUGGAGAAAUUGCAGGAGGAAAUCAAGGCCCAUUUGGUGGAACUUGAUUCUGUCAAAAUGGAAUAUGCAAAUGCAAAACUUGAGUGUAAUGCUGCUGAUGAACGUGGAAAGAUUUUGGCUUCUGAGGUUAUUGGUUUGGAAGAGAAGGCACUCAGACUAAGGUCUAAUGAACUAAAGCUGGAGAGGCAAUUGGAGAACUCACAUACUGAAAUUGCUUCAUACAAAAAGAAAAUG
rnacentral:misc_RNA from 1 species